UACGUAGGUGGCGAGCGUUGUCCGGAUUUACUGGGCGUAAAGAGCGCGCAGGCGGUCGUUCAAGUCGCGUGUGAAAGCCCCCGGCUCAACUGGGGAGGGUCACGCGAUACUGAUCGACUCGAAGGCAGGAGAGGGAAGUGGAAUUCCCGGUGUAGUGGUGAAAUGCGUAGAUAUCGGGAGGAACAUCAGUGGCGAAGGCGGCUACCUGGCCCAAUACUGGACACUCAGGUGCGACAGCGUGGGGAGCGAACAGG
rnacentral:rRNA from 1 species